AGCUCCAAUAGCGUAUAUUAAAGUUGUUGCGGUUAAAAAGCUCGUAGUUGGAUUUCUGUCGAAGACGCAGGGUCCGCACUUCGUGCGUGUAUCUUUGUCGGCUUUGGCAUCCUCUCGAAAAACAGCGAUGUGCUUGAUUGCAUGUUCUGGGGUUCGGGACUUUUACUUUGAGGAAAUUAGAGUGUUCACGGCAGGCAAUCGCCCUGAAUAUAUUAGCAUGGAAUAAUAAUAUAGGAUCUGAUGCCUAUUUUGUUGGUUUCUAGGUGUUAGAUAAUGAUUAAUAGGGACAAUUGGGGGGGCAUUCGUAUCAUGGCGUCAGAGGUGGAAUUCUUGGAUUGCCAUGCGACGAACUACUGCGAAAGCAUUUGCCAAGGAUGUUUUCAUUGAUC
rnacentral:rRNA from 1 species